UUGAUUUAAAAUAUGAUCUGAUAGAGAUAUAAAAAUAGUAUUGAUGUCUAUGGCAGAUGUAGCUUUAAUUAUUAAGUAAUUGAUUAAAUUUGGUAUUUUAGAUAUAUUUGAUUCAUAAUGUUUAAAUAUUUUUUAAGCAAUGUUGCAUAAUAUUACUAAAUCAGCAGACAGUUGUUUAAGACCACCUCUAUUCUUAAUAGCUAUUAAUGAUCCUAAAUUACUAUGAUUUUGUUCCAAAACAUCUAAACAAGUAUCACAUACCAUGAUUCUUUGAACCUUCCUCACUAUAAACCCAGAAGUAUACUCAACUACAUUGGUAAUAUAAACAGUAUCUACAAUAUUAAUGUCGUUAAUUAAGUCAUUUUCUAAAUAUGAGUUAUCUUCAGCACAAAGCAUAUCAAUUGGUAAACAGUUGGCUCCAAAUAACACCAUUAAUUCAGUGUGGACCAGUAGCCGUUUAUAGCUUGAUUCAAACUGGGCUGCCGUCGGGUUGUUAUUGAACCCUCCUCUUGCUCUUAUUGCAGAGAAGAACAUUUCAAGGUGGUCUUGAGACAACUUAUACAAUUAUUAAACUGUUUUAAAUUCAAUGUGGUUGAACAAAAUGCCAAAGCAUUUGCCACAUUCAUGCUAAAUGCUUGGGCAGCCAAUCGUACUUUCAUCUUCUCCUUAUUAUAACUGAUGUGUCUAGAACAAAUUUUAGUUCCUGCAUGUAAGCCAAUUCUAUCUUGAUAACUCACAAGCUCUUUAAAGUAUUUCCAUUGUAUGGCUUUGUCAUUUCCGUCAUAUAUUGUUUUCCAAUCACCCAAAUUUCAGGAUGUUGGAAGAAAGUAAUCAAGUUAGAAAAUGAUAAAUUUGCACCAAGGCAUCUAGCCAUUGAAAAAUUAGAGGAAGUACCAUCAAAAGUUAAAGUCUUGACUAUAACACCAGCUUCAUGAACAUUAGAUAAGCAAAUAUUAACUAAAUUUGAUUUUUCUCGUGAUGAAAUGCCAUUUAUCAAAAAGUAUACAAUCGGAACUUUCCAGCAAGAAUUUAUUGCUACCAACAUGAAUACUAGCGCCUUAGUAACCCUAGGAAGACUAUCAUUCCCAUUAGUACCUGUACCACAGUUUACAUACCCUUGUAAUCUUUGGUUAUUGUAAGAAAUAUUUUCUUUUAUAUGCAUUUCGUCCAUUAACAAUCCACAAAUUAAUUGUUUACCAUUUUGUUUCAUUUCUUUGGGUUUCAAACGAAUAGCAUUCAGAGAUUCUUGAGUAAAACCAGGUUCACCAUUAAUAGAAGUAUACCAUUUACGUAUUGUACUUGUAUGAGGAAGAGCUUUGUUGAAUGUAUUUCAUACAUAGUUAUACGCAGAAGGAGAGAAAAAAUGGAGAGUUAAUGCAAAACUGCUCAAAUCUGGAGAAUAUUGAUGUGUAUCAUGAUGUAAUUGUC